GCCAUUUGGUGCCUUGUCCUUUCCUAGUCACUAUACUAUACUAUGUUUGGCUCCUUUCCACACUUUUGAGCAAAAAGCAGGAGGCCACGCAGGUCCAUUUAAGAGGCCGGCGCAUCUCAUCUGAGAGGCACACUCUGGAUCUUGUCUCUGCACCCAGCACGGGAGGGCAGCCCAACUUGCAGCGUCCCACUCUCAAGGUCAGGUCUGCCUGUGGGCGUGGUGACACAUGGCUGCCUUUCACCCUAGGGCUCUGGAGGCUGAGACAGGGAGAUCAAGAUAGUCCUCUCUGAUGUGGACAGGCUUCAUCUGAUGCCCUGUGAGCAUGUCUACAGAAGGCCAGUUCUAGGCUUUGGGAGUUGAGCUGAAGCUGCUGCCAUUGGCUCCCCAGGUUCCUAGCUUUGAGGCUUGCACCAGAAGUACAGCAUCGGCUUUUCAAUUUGCCAAGUACAGAUCUUGGGACAUCCAGUUUUGACUGAAUGAAUAUAUAUUGCCAUUUCCUUUUGCUCCUGUGCAGAAUUCAGACUAAUACAAUAUUAACACCUUGAA